AGAGUUUGAUCCUGGCUCAGGACGAACGCUGGCGGCACGCUUAACACAUGCAAGUCGAACGAGAGAAGAGAAGCUUGCUUUUCUGAUCUAGUGGCGGACGGGUGAGUAACACGUGAGCAAUCUGCCUUUCAGAGGGGGAUACCGAUUGGAAACGAUCGUUAAUACCGCAUAACAUAAUUGAACCGCAUGAUUUGAUUAUCAAAGAUUUAUCGCUGAAAGAUGAGCUCGCGUCUGAUUAGCUAGUUGGUAAGGUAACGGCUUACCAAGGCGACGAUCAGUAGCCGGACUGAGAGGUUGAUCGGCCACAUUGGGACUGAGACACGGCCCAGACUCCUACGGGAGGCAGCAGUGGGGAAUAUUGCACAAUGGAGGAAACUCUGAUGCAGCGAUGCCGCGUGAGGGAAGAAGGUUUUAGGAUUGUAAACCUCUGUCUUCAGGGACGAAAAAAAAGACGGUACCUGAGGAGGAAGCUCCGGCUAACUACGUGCCAGCAGCCGCGGUAAUACGUAGGGAGCGAGCGUUGUCCGGAAUUACUGGGUGUAAAGGGAGCGUAGGCGGGAUCGCAAGUCAGAUGUGAAAACUAUGGGCUUAACCCAUAAACUGCAUUUGAAACUGUGGUUCUUGAGUGAAGUAGAGGUAAGCGGAAUUCCUAGUGUAGCGGUGAAAUGCGUAGAUAUUAGGAGGAACAUCAGUGGCGAAGGCGGCUUACUGGGCUUUAACUGACGCUGAGGCUCGAAAGCGUGGGGAGCAAACAGGAUUAGAUACCCUGGUAGUCCACGCCGUAAACG
rnacentral:rRNA from 1 species